rnacentral:rRNA from 1 species
UACGGAGGAUCCGAGCGUUAUCAGGAUUUAUUGGGUUUAAAGGGUGCGCAGGCGGGAGAUUAAGUCGGCGGUGAAAUUUUGCAGCUCAACUGUAAAAGUGCCUUCGAAACUGGUUUCCUUGAGUGUAGAUGAAGUAGGCGGAAUUUGUGGUGUAGCGGUGAAAUGCAUAGAUAUCACGAGGAACUCCGAUUGCGAAGGCAGCUUACUAAGCUACUACUGACGCUCAGGCACGAAGGCGUGGGGAUCAAACAGGAUUAGAUACCCU